rnacentral:rRNA from 1 species
AUUGAACGCUGGCGGCAUGCUUUACACAUGCAAGUCGAACGGUAACAGGCCGCAAGGUGCUGACGAGUGGCGAACGGGUGAGUAAUGCAUCGGAACGUGCCCAGUCGUGGGGGAUAACUACUCGAAAGAGUAGCUAAUACCGCAUACGAUCUAUGGAUGAAAGCGGGGGACCGUAAGGCCUCGCGCGAUUGGUGCGGCCGAUGUCAGAUUAGGUAGUUGGUGGGGUAAAGGCUCACCAAGCCAACGAUCUGUAGCUGGACUGAGAGGACGACCAGCCACACUGGGACUGAGACACGGCCCAGACUCCUACGGGAGGCAGCAGUGGGGAAUUUUGGACAAUGGGCGCAAGCCUGAUCCAGCAAUGCCGCGUGAAGGAAGAAGGCCUUCGGGUUGUAAACUUCUGUUGUACGGAACGAAACGGCUCUGGUUAAUACCCGCGGGUAAUGACGGUACUGGAUGAAUAAGCACCGGCUAACUACGUG